rfam:Agrilus planipennis Contig39298, whole genome shotgun sequence.
AUCUCAUAAUAACAUAUGGCUGAAGAGGGGCCUUGCGGCCCUAAAACGGCCUGAGGGGGGAAAGGUUUUAGUUGGUAGGCGCCCCUUCCGGGGUAAAUCCGACACUACCCAAUCGCACGGGCAGAUGAGUGUCUUUUGAAGAUUUUCUCUCCUCCAC